GGGUUGUGAGGUUAAGCGACUAAGCGUACACGGUGGAUGCCCUGGCAGUCAGAGGCGAUGAAGGGCGUGCUAAUCUGCGAUAAGCGCCGGUAAGGUGAUAUGAACCGUUAUAACCGGCGAUACCCGAAUGGGGAAACCCAGUGUGAUUCGUCACACUAUCAUUAACUGAAUCCAUAGGUUAAUGAGGCGAACCGGGGGAACUGAAACAUCUAAGUACCCCGAGGAAAAGAAAUCAACCGAGAUUCCCCCAGUAGCGGCGAGCGAACGGGGAGGAGCCCAGAGCCUGAAUCAGCAUGUGUGUUAGUGGAAGCGUCUGGAAAGGCGCGCGAUACAGGGUGACAGCCCCGUACACAAAAGCGCAUGUGCUGUGAGCUCGAUGAGUAGGGCGGGACACGUGGUAUCCUGUCUGAAUAUGGGGGGACCAUCCUCCAAGGCUAAAUACUCCUGACUGACCGAUAGUGAACCAGUACCGUGAGGGAAAGGCGAAAAGAACCCCGGCGAGGGGAGUGAAAAAGAACCUGAAACCGUGUACGUACAAGCAGUGGGAGCCCCACCACUAAGCCAGUGGUGAACUCCACAUACGCAUCCUUUGCUGAGGAUACGGUUAACGGAGCGAAAGCGACGUUCAACCUCAAAAGAAGCAGAGGGGGCUUAGUGGUGGGGUGACUGCGUACCUUUUGUAUAAUGGGUCAGCGACUUAUAUUCUGUAGCAAGGUUAACCGUAUAGGGGAGCCGGAGGGAAACCGAGUCUUAAUUGGGCGUUAAGUUGCAGGGUAUAGACCCGAA
rnacentral:rRNA from 1 species